CCGGACUCCUGGAUGCCCCUCCCCCUUGCUCAACCCUCCUGCCCACGACCUCACCUCGGGCCCACAGGCCAGGGGGCGCGGAUGAACACGAGCAGAUGCGGGGGAUGCCUCCCCCGCUCCAGGCUCAGCGUCGGCCCCCGGCAUGAAAUCCAGGGUUUGGCGCAGUAAAUAUUUCGUCUCGGAAGCUGUUCUCCUUUCUCGUUCUCGGGGACCUGAGCCUUCAUCUCAUUGGAUGGAAACCAAGAUGCCCACUGUGUGACCCACACAGAGGGAGUGAGGACCUUUACAGACUGCCUGAGAAAACCGAAACAUGGCCACCGAAAACACCACUUUCCGAGUAUGGCUGGCAACAUCAAAGAAAGACCCAGAACAUUUAGCUUUUGAAGCAGAGCAGGCAGAAGAGAAGCCUAGCAAACACACCUUGAUGCCUGGACACGAGAUCCCGCUACUAAGUUAUGUGACCAGCGUUCUCCAGUUCGGUGCUUUGUUCGAGUUUCACAUUAGAGCAGGGAAUUCUGCAGCAGGCCACGUGAACAAGAAGACGUGUUCAUAUGA